rnacentral:lncRNA from 1 species
UGUGUUUUUAGCAUUUGACCAGAGCUCUGGCAUUUGUGUAAUGAUAUAUUUUUUUGGAGAUAAUUUUUAAUAAUUUAAAAGGUAAUAAAUCGACAAGAAAAUUUGACUUCCAUCAAAGUUUUGUAAACCGUGUGCUGAUCUUAAAGGCGUCGAAGCUUUUGAUGAAUAAUAAGUUUUCUAUAAUACCGAACCUUUCGACUUUGGAAC